UACAGAGGGUGCAAACGUUGCUCGGAAUCACUGGGCGUAAAGGGCGUGUAGGCGGGCAGGAAAGUCAGAUGUGAAAUCCCUGGGCUCAACCCAGGAACUGCAUUUGAAACUCCCUGCCUUGAGUGCUGGAGAGGAAAGCGGAAUUCCUGGUGUAGAGGUGAAAUUCGUAGAUAUCAGGAGGAACACCGGUGGCGAAGGCGGCUUUCUGGACAGUAACUGACGCUGAGACGCGAAAGCGUGGGGAGCAAACAGG
rnacentral:misc_RNA from 1 species